rnacentral:tRNA from 1 species
GGGGUUGUAGCUCAAUGGUAGAGUCCUUGCCUAGCAUGCAUGAGGCACUGGGUUCGAUCCUCAGCACCA